AAUUCGAUUAGGACGAACGCUGGCGGCGUGCUUAACACAUGCAAGUGGAGCGACGAACCAGGCUUCGGCCUGGGGCAAAGCCGCGAACGGGUGAGUAACACGUGGGUAACCUGCCCUGAUGAUCGGGACAACCCGGGGAAACCCGGGCUAAUACCGAAUGUGCCCGCGAGCCACAAGGCUCGCGCGGAAAGGAAGCUUCGGCCUCCGCAUCGGGAUGGGCCCGCGGCCCAUUAGCUUGUUGGUGGGGUAAUGGCCUACCAAGGCAGCAAUGGGUAGCUGGUCUGAGAGGACGAUCAGCCACACUGGGACUGAGACACGGCCCAGACUCCUACGGGAGGCAGCAGUGGGGAAUCUUGCGCAAUGCGCGAAAGCGUGACGCAGCAACGCCGUGUGGGGGAAGACGGCCUUCGGGUUGUAAACCCCUUUCAGUUGGGACGAAGCUUCGUCGGUGAAUAGCCGGCUGGAGUGACGGUACCUUCAGAAGAAGCCCCGGCUAACUACGUGCCAGCAGCCGCGGUAAUACGUAGGGGGCAAGCGUUGUCCGGAAUCAUUGGGCGUAAAGAGCGUGUAGGCGGCCCGAUAAGUCCGCCGUGAAAGUCCAGGGCUCAACCCUGGAAUGCCGGUGGAUACUGUCGGGCUAGAGUCCGGAAGGGGCGAGUGGAAUUCCUGGUGUAGCGGUGAAAUGCGCAGAUAUCAGGA
rnacentral:rRNA from 1 species